rnacentral:lncRNA from 1 species
CAACCAUUACACAGACCCCGGCCGCCGCUCCAGCGCGCCUGGGCUGCCGUUGCCGCCGCUACUGAGGCUGCGGCUCCAGCUAGCGCAGCGGCUCCUCACAAAAUGGCGGCGCCCAUGGAAGCGGCAGCCCCAUUUUGUGCCCGGCAGAGCCUGUCAACAAAACGCCGACUUGGCCAAGGCUGAGGAACAGAAGGCGGCGGCUCGUUCGCAUUACAGAGAGCGGAGGGAGGAGAGCGAAGGAUUUCACCGCCCUCCCGCCGCCGAGAGGAGACUUUCUAUAAAGUUGCGUGCCUUAUGAAUAAACCGGCUAUUAGGCUGAUGCUUCAAGUAACACUAUCCAGCACCAAGGGUAUCGUACCUGUAACACAAAUCAGGGCCUGAAUGGUGGAAGAUAUUUUGAGGUUCUGACAAGGAUGGUCUGCAAUGCAGUAAAAGUAAUGGAUGUCCUGAUGACAAACUGGUGCAAGUUUUUUAAAAGGAAAGCAUAUUUGCAGUCAAUAAAUGACCUGACUGAAACA